UGCAGUCGAACGGAAAGGCCCGCUUGCGGGUACUCGAGUGGCGAACGGGUGAGUAACACGUGGGCAACCUGCCCCUGGCUCUGGGAUAACAUUUGGAAACAGGUGCUAAUACCGGAUAUUGACUUUCCGCCGCAUGGUGGUUUGUUGAAAGUUUUUUCGGCUGGGGAUGGGCCCGCGGCCUAUCNGCUUGUUGGGGGGGUGAGGGCCUACCAAGGCAACAACGGGAACCCGGCCUGAAAGGGCAACCGGCCCCAUUGGAACUGAAACACGGCCCAAACUCCAACGGGAGGCAGCNGGGGGGAAUAUUGCGCAAGGGGCGGAAGCCUGACCCAACGACCCCGCGUGAGGGAUAACGGCCUUCGGGUUGUAAACCUCUUUCACUUUGUGANCAAAUUUGAACGGUACCUGUCUAUAAAAAUAGCACCGGUUACUUACGAUGCCACCAGCCCCGGUAAAUCCCUGCA
rnacentral:rRNA from 1 species